UAGAAUAUAUUAGACAAACUAGAGAAAAUCAAGAAAAUCUAAAUAAUGAAAUUAAUUAUAGAAACCGAAUUAGACAAAUAAUGAAAGACCUAAAAGAAAAAUUAGUAUGGAUAGAAAAAACCUUAGAAAAUUUAGAUAAAAGUACAUGUGAUAGUUUAUAUAAUUUAAAAAACUCACUACGAGAAGAACAACACAAAAUAAUAAAUAAUAUUGAAAAUCUAGAAUUAGAUAUACAUUAUAGUACAGAAAGAAUAAAUUAUUAUACACGAAUUUGUAACUCUGCAAUUACUACAGGAUAAAAUAAUGAAUAUAUCUUACGAAAAAAGUAAAUCAUUAAAAGAUAAAAAUCCAAAAUUUAAAAAAUAUCCACGCAUAAAUAAUAAUAGAU
rnacentral:lncRNA from 1 species